rnacentral:misc_RNA from 1 species
AACGCAAAUUGCACUCCCUGGUAUUCCGGGGAGUAUGCCUGUUUGAGGGUCGUUAGAAUAAAAAUCGAGGCAUCGCUCUUUUUUUUAGGGUGAUCGCGUCGGAAUUGAGCCGUCUUUCAAAUGUUAAUUCAUGUCAAAGUGGCUUAAAAUUUCAUCCAUCCGGUACGAUUAAAGCGUAUUUAAGAUCAAUUUUGAUUAAGAACGCGCGAUGACGUACCAUCUCAUGUAGUACGUUUGACCUGGCGUCGUCAGGAUCAUUCGUAUACGAUACUCAAACUUUUGACCUCAAAUCAGGUAAGAAUACCCGCUGAACUUAA